rnacentral:rRNA from 1 species
AUUGAACGCUGGCGGCAUGCCUUACACAUGCAAGUCGAACGGCAGCACGGGUGCUUGCACCUGGUGGCGAGUGGCGAACGGGUGAGUAAUAUAUCGGAACGUACCUUAUUGUGGGGGAUAACGCAGCGAAAGCUGUGCUAAUACCGCAUAAUCCCUAAGGGGGAAAGCGGGGGACCGUAAGGCCUCGCGCAAUUAGAGCGGCCGAUACCUGAUUAGCUAGUUGGUGAGGUAAAGGCUCACCAAGGCAACGAUCAGUAGCUGGUCUGAGAGGACGAUCAGCCACACUGGGACUGAGACACGGCCCAGACUCCUACGGGAGGCUGCAGUGGGGAAUCUUGCGCAAUGAGCGACAGCUUGACGCAGCAACGCCGCGUGGGGGAAGAAGGCUUUCGGGUCGUAAACCCCUUUCAGUUAGGACGAAGCUUUAUUGGUUAAUAACCAAUUGGAGUGACGGUACUUUCAGAAGAAGCCUCGGCUAACUACGUGCCAGCCGCCGCAGUAA